UCAGGACGAACGCUGGCGGCAUGCCUAACACAUGCAAGUCGAACGGGGGUAGCAAUACCCUAGUGGCGAACGGGUGAGUAACACAUAAGCAAUCUGCCCUUCACAGGGGGAUAACAGCGGGAAACUGCUGCUAAUACCGCAUAAGACCACAGUACCGCAUGGUACAGGGGUAAAAACGAAUCAGUGGUGAAGGAUGAGCUUAUGUCCCAUUAGCUAGUUGGUGAGAUAACAGCCCACCAAGGCGACGAUGGGUAGCCGACCUGAGAGGGUGAUCGGCCACACUGGAACUGAGACACGGUCCAGACUCCUACGGGAGGCAGCAGUGGGGAAUAUUGGGCAAUGGAGGAAAAACCUCUUACCCAGCAAUGCCGCGUGAGUGAAGAAGGUCUUCGGAUUGUAAAGCUCUUUGAUUGGGGACGAAGAAAGUGACGGUACCCAAAGAACAAGUCCCGGCUAACUACGUGCCAGCCGCUGC
rnacentral:rRNA from 1 species